AUUGAACGCUGGCGGCAGGCCUAACACAUGCAAGUCGAGCGGAUGAAGGGAGCUUGCUCCUGGAUUCAGCGGCGGACGGGUGAGUAAUGCCUAGGAAUCUGCCUGGUAGUGGGGGAUAACGUCCGGAAACGGGCGCUAAUACCGCAUACGUCCUGAGGGAGAAAGUGGGGGAUCUUCGGACCUCACGCUAUCAGAUGAGCCUAGGUCGGAUUAGCUAGUUGGUGGGGUAAAGGCCUACCAAGGCGACGAUCCGUAACUGGUCUGAGAGGAUGAUCAGUCACACUGGAACUUAGACACGGUCCAGACUCCUACGGGAGGCAGCAGUGGGGAAUAUUGGACAAUGGGGGAAAGCCUUAUCCAGCCAUGCCGCGUGUGUGAAGAAGGUCUUCGGAUUGUAAAGCACUUUAAGUUGGGAGGAAGGGCAGUAAGUUAAUACCUUGCUGUUUUGACGUUACCAACAGAAUAAGCACCGGCUAACUUCGUG
rnacentral:rRNA from 1 species